rnacentral:lncRNA from 1 species
CUGCUGUUUACCAAAGAAGACCGAAACAUGGCCCACGUGUCCAAUCCUUGCUUGGAGGAGGAGCCGGGAGGAUACCCUUGAUGAACUGCUCUCAGAUUGUUGGUCUAUGAAGGAGGUUAAUACAUGUCAGUUUGACAUUGUAUCAUUGAAUCAGAAUUGAACAUCAGAAAGAGUAAAAUUCCCAGGCCUUUUUUACCCUAGCCUGGGUACAAGCUCAAGAUGAUGCAGAAGGAGGAGCAAAGCAUGGGAUCCAAGAAAGUUAAGUUCCAGCUCAGGUCGAAGAGAAUCAUGUCUGUGAUCUGUGUCUUUGGUUUCUUCAUCUACAGCUGUCAUCUUGUGGGCUGGAGCAUGGUGGCCAGGAAGUGUGCAAGGGGCUCUGGUGUCCAUGCAGCCCUCAUAGACCUGAGGAGGUAUGAUUGCUCUAAGCCCCCAGUGGGGUUCCAGUUUGAUAGCUG